rnacentral:rRNA from 1 species
GGAGUUUGGACCGUGUCUCAGUUCCAAUGUGGGGGACCUUCCUCUCAGAACCCCUACUGAUCGUUGCCCCGGUGGGCCGUUACCCCGCCGGCAAGCUAAUCAGACGCAUCCCCAUCCCUUACCGAUGAAUCUUUGCUCCUCGUUAGAUGCCUGCUAAGGAGAACAUAGGGUAUUAAUCCGCAUUUCUACGGGCUAUGCCCUACUAUGGGGAAGGUUGGAUACGCGUUACUCACCCGUGCGCCGGUCGCCAUCAAAGGAAGCAAGCUUCCUUCAUGCUGCCCCUCGGCUUGCAUGUGUUAAGCCUGUAGCUAGCGUUCAUC